GGCGGUACAGGAUGGACCCGCGUCUGAUUAGCUAGUUGGUAAGGUAACGGCUUACCAAGGCGACGAUCAGUAGCCGACCUGAGAGGGUGAUCGGCCACAUUGGAACUGAGACACGGUCCAAACUCCUACGGGAGGCAGCAGUGGGGAAUAUUGCACAGUGGGCGAAAGCCUGAUGCAGCAACGCCGCGUGAGCGAUGAAGGCCUUCGGGUCGUAAAGCUCUGUCCUCAAGGAAGAUAAUGACGGUACUUGAGGAGGAAGCCCCGGCUAACUACGUGCCAGCAGCCGCGGUAAUACGUAGGGGGCUAGCGUUAUCCGGAAUUACUGGGCGUAAAGGGUGCGUAGGUGGUUUCUUAAGUCAGAGGUGAAAGGCUACGGCUCAACCGUAGUAAGCCUUUGAAACUGGGAAACUUGAGUGCAGGAGAGGAGAGUGGAAUU
rnacentral:rRNA from 1 species